GCAGAGAUAUCGAAGUGGUCAUAACGGGGCUGACUCGAAAUCAGUUUGCGCUCACGCGCACGAGGGUUCGAAUCCCUCUCUCUGCGCCA
rnacentral:tRNA from 1 species